rnacentral:pre_miRNA from 1 species
CUUGUGGGGAAUGUUGGCUGGCUCGAGGCAUCCACUUCUUUCCUCGCCGGCGAGCCGGCUCAGGCGUGUGGAGGCAUCGGACCAGGCUUCAUUCCUCGCAAG